UACGAGGGGGGCAAGCGUUGUUCGGAAUUACUGGGCGUAAAGGGCGCGUAGGCGGAUAGUUUAGUCAGAGGUGAAAGCCCAGGGCUCAACCUUGGAAUUGCCUUUGAUACUGGCUAUCUUGAGUUCGGGAGAGGUGAGUGGAAUGCCGAGUGUAGAGGUGAAAUUCGUAGAUAUUCGGCGGAACACCAGUGGCGAAGGCGACUCACUGGCCCGAUACUGACGCUGAGGCGCGAAAGCGUGGGGAGCAAACAGGG
rnacentral:rRNA from 1 species